rnacentral:rRNA from 1 species
GAUGAACGCUGGCGGCGUGCCUAAUACAUGCAAGUCGAGCGAACAGACGAGGAGCUUGCUCCUCGGACGUUAGCGGCGGACGGGUGAGUAACACGUGGAUAACCUACCUAUAAGACUGGGAUAACUUCGGGAAACCGGAGCUAAUACCGGAUAAUAUAUUGAACCGCAUGGUUCAAUAGUGAAAGCCGGUUUUGCUGUCACUUAUAGAUGGAUCCGCGCCGCAUUAGCUAGUUGGUAAGGUAACGGCUUACCAAGGCAACGAUGCGUAGCCGACCUGAGAGGGGGAUCGGCCACACUGGAACUGAGACACGGUCCAGACUCCUACGGGAGGCAGCAGUAGGGAAUCUUCCGCAAUGGGCGAAAGCCUGACGGAGCAACGCCGCGUGAGUGAUGAAGGUCUUCGGAUCGUAAAACUCUGUUAUUAGGGAAGAACAAAUGUGUAAGUAACUAUGCACGUCUUGACGGUACCUAAUCAGAAAGCCACGGCUAACUACGUG